GCAGAUCCAAUUUUCUGCCACCGAAUACAUUAGCAUGGGAUAAUGGAAUAGGACCCUGUCCUCCUAUUUUCAGUUGGUUUUGGCACGCGAGGACCAGGGUAAUGAUUAAUAGGGAUAGUUGGGGGCGUUAAUAUUUAAUUGUCAGAGGUGAAAUUCUUGGAUUUAUGAAAGAUUAACUUCUGCGAAAGCAUCUGCCAAGGAUGUUUUCAUUAAUCAAGAACGAAAGUUAGGGGAUCGAAGACGAUCAGAUACCGUCGUAGUCUUAACCAUAAACGAUGCCGACCAGCGAUUAGGAGACGUUGAAUACAAAACACCACCAUCGGUGCGGUCGUCCUUGGCGCGUCGCGGCUUGCCGCGGCGUGCGAGGGCGGUUUAGCCUGAUGGCAUCGGUGAAUGACUCCCCUAGCAGCUUGUGAGAA
rnacentral:rRNA from 1 species